rnacentral:rRNA from 1 species
UACGAAGGGGGCUAGCGUUGCUCGGAAUCACUGGGCGUAAAGCGUGCGUAGGCGGGUUUUUAAGUCAGAGGUGAAAUCCUGGAGCUCAACUCCAGAACUGCCUUUGAUACUGGGAAUCUUGAGUAUGGAAGAGGUGAGUGGAACUGCGAGUGUAGAGGUGAAAUUCGUAGAUAUUCGCAAGAACACCAGUGGCGAAGGCGGCUCACUGGUCCAUAACUGACGCUGAGGCACGAAAGCGUGGGGAGCGAACAGG